ACAAACCAUGACAGCAGAAGUGACAUGCAAAGUGGUUAUUUUGUUCUCACUCUAUGUUUUUAUGCACGUUAUGUAUGUUGAGUGUAGUGGGAUGGGGGCAGAGAACAACAGCCAAGCAGCCUUCCCUCUUCCACACAUGAUUGUAUAGCUCACUGGUUUUAUCUCCAGGUACCCAAAAAGAAAUGAAACCAUUAAAAGAGAUACCUGUGAGCUGUAAACUCUGAGGGGAAGAAAUUACUGUCGGUUUGUCAGGACUUCUUUUACAUAAUGGAAGAUAAUGAGAGGCACAUUAAGAAGCAGGUUUAUUGUACCCUAUAGAAAAGUAUCAAUCCAAAGGCGGAUUGUCAACUCCUUAACUUGGUCUUCUCUGUGUCACUGAGUUGAUGUAAUGAGGCUUUAGUACCACCCUACCCAGCCAGUGGUGGAGGCAGAGGAUGUCCCCAGAGCGUGUCAAAGGAAAGAAAAAGAAGCUGUUGCAGAAUCUGAAAAUACUGGAAUACAUUCUGCAAUCUUCUGGAUUUUAAGCUGCCUC